rnacentral:rRNA from 1 species
GACGAACGCUGGCGGCGUGCUUAACACAUGCAAGUCGAACGGUAAGGCCCUUCGGGGUACACGAGUGGCGAACGGGUGAGUAACACGUGGGUGAUCUGCCCUGCACUUCGGGAUAAGCCUGGGAAACUGGGUCUAAUACCGGAUAGGACCACUGCCUGCAUGGGUGGUGGUGGAAGGCUUUUGCGGUGUGGGAUGGGCCCGCGGCCUAUCAGCUUGUUGGUGGGGUGAUGGCCUACCAAGGCGACGACGGGUAGCCGGCCUGGGAGGGUGACCGGCCACACUGGGACGGAGAUACGGCCCAGACUCCUACGGGAGGCAGCAGUGGGGAAUAUUGCACAAUGGGCGCAAGCCUGAUGCAGCGACGCCGCGUGAGGGAUGACGGCCUUCGGGUUGUAAACCUCUUUCAGUAGGGACGAAGCGCAAGUGACGGUACCUACAGAAGAAGGACCGGCCAACUACGUGCCAGCCGCCGCCGUAA